rnacentral:rRNA from 1 species
CCUACGGGUGGCAGCAGUGGGGAAUAUUGGACAAUGGGGGCAACCCUGAUCCAGCCAUGCCGCGUGUGUGAAGAAGGCCCUCGGGUUGUAAAGCACUUUCAGUGAGGAAGAACGCCUGGUGGUUAAUACCCAUCAGGAAAGACAUCACUCACAGAAGAAGCACCGGCUAACUCCGUGCCAGCAGCCGCGGUAAUACGGAGGGUGCGAGCGUUAAUCGGAAUUACUGGGCGUAAAGCGCGCGUAGGUGGCUUGAUAAGCCGGUUGUGAAAGCCCCGGGCUCAACCUGGGAACGGCAUCCGGAACUGUCAAGCUAGAGUGCAGGAGAGGAAGGUAGAAUUCCCGGUGUAGCGGUGAAAUGCGUAGAGAUCGGGAGGAAUACCAGUAGCGAAGGCGGCCUUCUGGACUGACACUGACACUGAGGUGCGAAAGCGUGGGUAGCAAACAGGAUUAGAUACCCGAGUAGUC